GAGACCAGCUUGAAGAGAAGGACAGGCUGGAGGCCGGCAGCUGGAGGCUGGACUUCGAGUCACAGUCAGUCCACGAAGAGAUUUAUUGGGGCUGCUUCUACUUCUUCCCGUGGCUCAGAAUGUGUAAGAAGGACAAAAGGGAGCCCCCCUCAUAGCGUGGCUCCCGCCCCCAGCAGCAGAUCGCAAAGGACCCCCCCCCGGUUCGAGGAGCCAGAAUCUGUUGCUACGACCUACUGUUAGUCCCUGUGCCGACCGUCCAGAUAUAUUGGUGCAAACGUCUCCUGGAACCUCACCAUUAAAGUUUCCCCAGAUCUC